GGAGGAUUCGCCUAGCGGCCUAGGGCGCACGCUUGGAAAGCGUGUUGGGUUAACAACCCUCACGAGUUCGAAUCUCGUAUCCUCCG
rnacentral:tRNA from 1 species